ensembl:lncRNA
UCUUAUUUCCUUGUCUCUGUUCACGUAAUAGUACUACUAUGCUUGGUUUGUUGACUCUAUUGUGCAUCAGCUCCUCACGUAUGAAACAUUUUUGUUUCUGCUAUCAUUUUCAGGACACUAAUUUCACCUGGCAAUGAAGCUAUUUGUGGGAUUCAUGAUUUUGCUUUUCACUUAUGCAGCUUCAACCGCAGCUCCAAUAAACAUUGCUUCAGCAUCAAUAGAGAAUGCAAGUCCUCAAAUUUACCUUGACAUUGGCAUCAUAGCUGGCAUUGUCAUUGUCACUGUGAUUGUCUUUGCAUUGAUAGGAAUGGCUGAUCAGGAGCAGGCUGAUGAAUGUGUCAAUUUAAAUAAAGGUACAACUACAAGUCAGGACUCAUUCUGUGCAGAAUGUUGCAACGACUGCUGGAAAUGUUGUAGAGGUUUUGUAUCCUGUUGUUGUACUGAAUCCCUCAACAUAGCUUGUGACAUAUGCUGCUGUCUAUUUUAAAUGGAAAAAUUCAUCAACAAUAACCGCUUCCCUCCUCCUUUGGAUGCUGUACACACUACAGUUAUUGUCAGUUGAUUGCCUGGGCUCACCUUUCAUUUCACAGAAUACGAAGUGUUUAUAUAUAAAUAAAAAUAAUAACAAUAAUAAUAACAAUAACAAUACAUUGUAUGUUAAGCACCUUUCAAAACACUCAAGGUCAUCUUACGCAAAAUAAGUAAAUGAUAAAAUAAUAGAAAAAAAAUACCCACCCCUCUCUUUUCACAUCAGAGAUAUCCCAUAUUCUCCUGCACUAGUUGCUAUAGAGUAUUUUCUUGUUUGUGUUUAUUGAAUAUAUCUGUACUAUGUUGUUUUGGUGUUGUUGACAGUAGUCCUUUAAUAUUACACAAAGAUAACUAGAUUAAAUAUAAAAUACAAUCUAAAUGAUGAUUUAACUCAUUAAGGGAAAAAGAAUCUUUCCAAACCUACCUGACGCUACAUGAAGAAUUCCACCCUUGUUAACACAUCAACCACAUUUCUUUGAAAGUUGUUUUCAGUAUCUCAGCCCACACCCAGGCUUGUCAUUGGCAGGUCUGAUUACUCAAGAAAUCAUUUAAAUAGAAACUGUCUGAGAAAUUGAAGUAGGCCAAAAGACGUCAAAAAGCAUAGAAUAUCUGGCUAUUAGUUGACAUUGUAAAGCUGAGGCACAUGUAGGUUAAGCAGAAGGUCAGUGAUCUGAAACACACCAGCAAGUCCAUCGUUGAAC